rnacentral:rRNA from 1 species
CACGUAGGCACCAAGCGUUGUUCGGAUUUACUGGGCGUAAAGGGCGCGUAGGCGGCCAGCACAAGUCAGUUGUGAAAUCUCCGAGCUUAACUCGGAAAGGUCAACUGAUACUGUGCGGCUAGAGUGCGGAAGGGGCAACUGGAAUUCUUGGUGUAGCGGUGAAAUGCGUAGAUAUCAAGAGGAACACCUGCGGCGAAGGCGGGUUGCUGGGCCGACACUGACGCUGAGGCGCGAAAGCCAGGGGAGCGAACGGG